UUGUGUUGUCGGGAUGGCCUGGUUCAGCACAUGACAUGAGAGUUUUCAAAGAUGCCAUAACUACUCAUCACCACAAAUUUCCACAUCCACCACCAGGCAAGUAUUAUGUGGUUGAUGCGGGUUACCCAAAUCGUCCGGGAUACCUUUCACCAUACCGGUGUACAAGGUACCAUGUCGAGCAAUGGCAUAACGGCCCACCGCCCCAAGGUAUGAAAGAAGUCUUCAACCAUGCACAUGCUAAAGUUAGAAAUGUGAUAGAAAGAAGUUUUGGAGUGUUGAAGAUGAAGUUUAGGAUUUUGUUGAACAUGCAAAGAUUUCCAGAGGACAAGCAAACUAGAAUUAUUGUUGCAUGUAUGGCUCUUCACAAUUUUAUUCGAGAGAGUAGAAUUGCGGAUCGAGAAUUCGAAGCAUGUGAUGCCGAUGAAAAUUAUAACCCAAUGCCUAGUUCUGCAGCAUCAACAUGGCCAGAAGACGAACCUCUUGUUGAAGAUGUCAACAUGAAUGCCUUCCGUGAUGACUUAGCUCAUGCUUUGUUUCAUGAAGUGUAAUUUUUUUUAAUAUUGAUUAAGGACUUGUUGUGAUUUGGAUGUUUGAUUUGUGAAAAUAAAUUUAUUUGUGUUAUUUGUGUGUGGGAGAAGCCACACAAGAGUUUGCCACACUAAAUCCGGAUAAGGAAAGGUUUAAAUGAGACAAAUAAUUAUAAAAUAGCAUUUAUUGUAAACUAGCCUUUGGAUCCAAACACGUAGAGGGCUAGAGCUAGUUUGGGCUAGAGUUAGAGCUAGAAACUAGCUCUAGCUCUAGCCGGGUUUGAAGGAUCCAAACAGGGCCA